UUUCCGUAGGUGGACUUGCGGAAGGAUCAUUAUUGUAUAACCGAGGUGCGAGGGCUGUCGCUGACCCGAAAGGUCGUGCACGCCCGAGUGCCCUCACACACAUCCAUCUCACCCCUAUGUGCACCACCGCGUGGGUCCCCCUUUGGCUUGUUCGGAGGGGGGCUUACGUUUUCACACAAACUUUGUAUGCAGUGUAGAAUGUAUUUUUUGUUUUUGCGAUCACGCAAUCAAUACAACUUUCAACAACGGAUCUCUUGGCUCCC
rnacentral:misc_RNA from 1 species